ncrna:unclassified sequences pemK RNA
ACAAUGAUACUUCCGUAGCAGAAAUGCGCGGCUGGCGGAGUACCCGGCAGAGGUGAGAUUCCUAUGG